UUUUUUUUUUUUUCUUUUAGACAAUGGUUUCUCCCCUUUAUUUUAUUAUUUUAUUUUAUGUUUUAGACACACUGCACAGCAGGAUUGUCACUCAGGUAUGAGGAUGACCAUUUUGUACCUUGAUAAAAUUACUAGUUUUGACCCAUGUGUCUAUUUAUAUGUUACUACUAUUUUUAAAGCUGAUAAAUGAAAGAAAUGAUGUUUUGGCGUGGCACAAUUGGAAAUCGUAUCGUAUCUGUGCAGAGACCUUUUCUAAGCCUUAGCUUAGAGAACCCACUUGAAAUUUAUUUCCAGAUUUACAAACAGGGACAGAACACAGCUAGCUAGGGACUCCUGAACAGCUGAUAUGGAAAUAAUUAUUUUUAGAUAAUUGAUUCAAAUUGAUAAAAUGCUUAACCUCGUUGUAGUCUUUUUAAGUGACAAGGAAGAUUAAGUUUCUCUCUGCUUAAAACUCUUCAAAGGUCAGGCUUCUAAUUGGCAUUUAAAUACUAGUUGAUUGAAUGUUGGUUCACUCAAGCCCUUCCUAUUUAAUAUUUAUGUGCGGUGAAGCACGAAUCAGAAUUAACUGGGGAGGAAAGAGGAAGAUGCCUGCAACUAACUCAGCAAAGGAAGGAAAGGCAGCAGCACAGAACUAGUGAACCUGAACAUAGGCCCAUUCUUUUUGAUUCCGGAGCAUAGGAUCUGGCUGAAGAGAUCUUGAGUUCAGGUCUCAUGUGAACCCAAUUACUAAAUUACUAUAUGUAGCUUUUCUCAUCUCUCAAAUGGUUAUAAUAUGGCUUAUACUACCUUGUACAAAGCUUAACUAAGAUGUCACAGUGGGUCUGGAAGUGCUUUAAAACUAGAAAGCAUUUAAAGAAAUGUAAGAUUAAGCUAUUAACGAGGAACUUUUCAUUGGGUAUCUCUCCUUUUUCCUUUUCCCAAGAAGAGUUCCCGUUGUGGCUCAGUGGUUAACAAAUCCAACUAGGAACCAUGAGGUUGCAGGUUCGGUCCCUGGACUUGCUCAGUGGAUUAAGGAUUCGGUGUUGCUGAGAGCUGUGGUGUAGGCUACAGACGUGGCUCAGAUUCCGCGUCGCUGUGGCUCUGGUGUAGGCCAGUGGCUACAGCUCUGAUUAGCCCCCUAGCCUGGGAAUCUCCAUAUGCCGCGGGAGUGGCCCAAGAAAUGGCAAAAAGACAAAAAAAUAAUAAUUUCAUGUCACCUAAAGUGACUUUUUUUUUUUCCUUUUACCAAAGGCACAGACUAGAAUGGAGUGAGCAAAGUUUUAAAAUUAAAAAGCCUUAAAUUAGAUUCAAGCUUUAGGGUUAAAAAUCCUAAAAAGAAUUCAUCAAUCCAACCAGUGUUUAUAAAACUUUAAAAGCAGACUGGUUUGGCCAUUUAUAAUCAUCUCUUUCAUUGAAAUAAAAAAAAUGGUUUCCAGAUUUACAACUCAUUUUUAUGUGUUCAGUUUAGUGCAGAGCACUUUGUUUCCUAAACAUCAUGUUUGUAUGCAGUUCUCUGUGGCUGGUAAAAAUGUUUACUGGGAAGCACACCUCCUCCUUCUUUAUCAUUCAGAGAAAGGUAUAUGCCAAGUACUUAUCUCCUUGGCAAAGGCAUGACUUAACAUUUUCACCAGCUCCCCCUGGACAGCAUUUUUAACUUCUGUUUCAUUUGGAGAGCGUCGUUUUUGCUAUAUAACAAUUGUGUGUGUGUGUGUAUGUGUGUGUGUGUGUGUGUGUGUGUGUGUGUGUGCGUGUGCAUAUUGAGGAUAAAGGCUAAAAAAAGAAUGCUCACAUGAAAACACAUGUUACCAGCUGUAAUGUAUGAACUUGUUUUGAUCUAGAUUCAAACAUCAUCAGCAACAAAAAGACAUUUAGAAGAUAAUUAGGAAAUGUGAAACUGAAUAUUUUAUGAUGUUAAGCAACGAUUGUUACUUUUGGGGGCUGUGAUCAUGUUUUAAAAGAGGAGUCUUUACCUCUGCCACCAACAGUGACAACAGAACAAAGUAGAAAACAUCAUGAGGGAAUGGAAACAACAAUAUAUAAGCAGUAAUAAUGAUAGCUGACGCCGACUGAGUGCUUCCAAUGAGGCAGUCUGUGUUCUGCAUUACAGUUUUUAUUUUCCAUAUCAUUUCCAUUUUGCAGAUGAGACUGUUGACACACAGAUGAGUUAAGUAACUUAUCCAGUUCACAAAACUAGAAGGUGGAAGUGGAAAUAAGAGCUGAACUCAGGAUUUCAGAACUAUAAUUACCGUCACAGUGACAAACAGUGAAGGCAGAGCUAAGAACCAGAAGACGCAAUAGCAGUCUCUGAUGGAUGCCUUACCUUUAUCUGGAGGCCAUACUGUAUUUAGAUGAAGGUAACUGGGAGGUGAAUUUGCAAUCAGAACUCAAGUCCUGGGCAAUGUGAAAGUUUCUUACACGCCUGAAGAUUGAACUAAGUCUUUGAAUGCUCAACAGCUUCUUAUAUAAAAGUCUUCACUUUUUAUUCGAAGGAAUGAAGUUGUGGAAGCCUAACAAAUAUGAAUAAAAAAAAAGACUGGAAAUUAGUACAUUGACAGUAUUUUGACAAUUGAGUAUCUUUAGUACUGGGAUUGAGGGUAACUUAAAAAUUCUUAUUUAUGCUUUUUGUCACUUUCCAAUGAUUCUACAGUAUCUAUCUAUUGCUUUGGUAAUUUUUCUAGAAGGAAAAUCUUGGAAAACAAGCACUAGCUUUUCUCAAACUCCACCAAAGAUUGAUUGCAUCUGUUUGUAGUGACUAAAACAGGGGAGAAGUCUUUGAACUUUUCUAGGAUCAUUUUUUAUACCUACUAAGUGAAUAACUUCCUUUCAUCUUAUAGAUAUAAGGGAGAAAGAGAUAAACUCAGCUAUCCAGAACCAAAUUAAUGAACGUGUAUAGAUCUUUUCUCAUUGUGAUCAAAUGAGCUUGUAAAGACUCAGAAAAGACUCCAUAGGUUUUGUUUUGUUUUGCUUUUUCACUCCGUAGGUUACUAACAGUUGAAGUCCCUUAAAAAGGGCCUGUAAAGGAUAAUGAACCUCUUAGGGAGUUCCCGUUGUGGCUCAGUGGUUAACAAAUCUGACUAGUAACCAUGAGGUUGUGGAUUCGAUCCCUGGCCUCACUCAGUGGGUCAACGAUCUGGCAUUGCCGUGAGCUCUGGUGUAGGUCGAAGAUGUGGCUCAGAUCCCGCAUUGCUGUGGCUGUGGUGUAGGCCGAUGGCUACAGCUCUUAUUCGACCCCCUAGCCUGGGAACCUCCAUGUGCCACAGUG
rnacentral:lncRNA from 1 species